AGUGAACGCUGGCGGUGGGCCUAACACAUGCAAGUCGAACGGCAGCACAGUAAGAGCUUGCUCUUACGGGUGGCGAGUGGCGGACGGGUGAGGAAUACAUCGGAAUCUACUUUUUCGUGGGGGAUAACGUAGGGAAGCUUACGCUAAUACCGCAUACGACCUACGGGUGAAAGCAGGGGAUCUUCGGACCUUGCGCGAUUGAAUGAGCCGAUGUCGGAUUAGCUAGUUGGCGGGGUAAAGGCCCACCAAGGCGACGAUCCGUAGCUGGUCUGAGAGGAUGAUCAGCCACACUGGAACUGAGCCACGGUCCAGACUCCUACGGGAGGCAGCAGUGGGGAAUAUUGGACAAUGGGCGCAAGCCUGAUCCAGCCAUACCGCGUGGGUGAAGAAGGCCUUCGGGUUGUAAAGCCCUUUUGUUGGGAAAGAAAAGCAGCAGGUUAAUACCCCGCUGUUCUGACGGUACCCAAAGAAUAAGCACCGGCUAACUUCGUG
rnacentral:rRNA from 1 species